GGGGCGGAAACGACAUUAUUGAUUCUUCGGAGGAUUUAAUGGGCGUCGAGCGGCGGACGGGUGAGUAAUGCCUAGGAAAUUGCCUUGAUGUGGGGGAUAACCAUUGGAAACGAUGGCUAAUACCGCAUAAUGCCUACGGGCCAAAGAGGGGGAUCUUCGGACCUCUCGCGUCAAGAUAUGCCUAGGUGGGAUUAGCUAGUUGGUGAGGUAAUGGCUCACCAAGGCGACGAUCCCUAGCUGGUCUGAGAGGAUGAUCAGCCACACUGGAACUGAGACACGGUCCAGACUCCUACGGGAGGCAGCAGUGGGGAAUAUUGCACAAUGGGCGAAAGCCUGAUGCAGCCAUGCC
rnacentral:rRNA from 1 species